rnacentral:rRNA from 1 species
AGAUUGAACGCUGGCGGCAGGCCUAACACAUGCAAGUCGAGCGGCAGCACGGGUACUUGUACCUGGUGGCGAGCGGCGGACGGGUGAGUAAUGCCUAGGAAUCUGCCUGGUAGUGGAGGAUAACGCUCGGAAACGGACGCUAAUACCGCAUACGUCCUACGGGAGAAAGCGAGGGGACCUUCGGGCCUUGCGCUAUCAGAUGAGCCUAGGUCGGAUUAGCUAGUUGGUGGGUAAUGGCUCACCAAGGCGACGAUCCGUAACUGGUCUGAGAGGAUGAUCAGUCACACUGGAACUGAGACACGGUCCAGACUCGUACGGGAGCAGCGAGGUAGGGAAUAGUUGGACAAGUGGGACGAAAGCCGUAGACUCCGAGACCCAUCGGCCGCGGUU